rnacentral:rRNA from 1 species
GCCGACAGCUAGCUCUCUGUAGCUCUCACAUGGUCACCCACUGAAGCUAAGCAGAGCUGUGCCCGAUCAGUACCUGGAUGGGAGAGGACACGGAAAAGCUAGGUUGCUGCCGAAA